AUCCCACGUGACGAAACAAUCGACCCAAAUGAGCGAACCGCUCCCCUUUCUCUACUCACACGAGCGGCCCUUUUCCUGGUACACUCGCGCCCGCUAGGGUUCCUGCGCCGCCUCCACAAAGGAUCUCGUCGACUAGCCCACGGCUCUGCUCCUUGCUUCCCACAAGCGAUCCAUCAGCUUCUACGCAAGCCAAGCCGCCGCCUCUCUGCCGAGAAAAAGGGCUCCCAAUCUCCACCAGGGUCGAUCAACCGCGCGACAGAGCUCACACCCCUUCGCUGGUCCACUCUGGCGCGGCCAUUGUUGGUGCGUCCCCCCGGUCCCCCCUUCCCACCCACCGAUGUAGACGAAGGCGCAUGUGGGUGACGUGGCCCUCGACAGUCGCGGCUCCGUAUUAGUGUACCGCUACCAGGAGCAGCAGAAGCGCCACAUCGGCACCACCGCGCUCCUCGCCACCGGCGGCUUCGCCGGCGUCGUGAGCAAGACCUACAUCGCGCCCCUCGUCCCUCACCAUCCUCUUCCAGGUAGUAGGAUUUCCGCCCCUUCUUUUGUCUCCCGCGUUCUCAUGCGAACGGAUUGGGAGCUCAGAGGGCGUAGGAAUUUCAGAGGGCUGGCAGCUGCGAUGGAAUUUCAGAGGGCUGGGAGCAACGGCGAGGACUAAUUAAGCAUCUAUUUGAUUUUCAGAUAUUCUGUGUCUAGGACAUGAUUUGACCACAAAGGAAUCCCCCUUUAAAUGUGUUCUGAUGUCUAGUAAGGAAUUUGGAGCGGAUGUGCUUCUUCUUUGAAUCCCCCUUUAUAUGUGUUCUGGUCUCUGAUAAGGAAUUGGGAGGUAAAAAAGCAUGGGGCAAACCUUGGGUUGUAGAAAUUAGUGUGGUUGUGUGAAACAAGAAUUUUCUUCUAUUUCAUGAUGUUGUUUUGUGCUCCUUCUUGCUUUACAAUACACAUAUAUAGAUUCUUCAAAGGAAUUGGAUACUGAUAAUAUCAACUUGGUUUCCUGGAUGCAAUAUAUUUUCCCCCUUGCUUUUAACUGAUUGCCCCAAACAAUACAUCCCGGAUUGACAGUCAUGACCUAUUAUUAUUGGUGUUGUUAAUUUACAACACUCUGCGCAUGUAUUGAACAAUCACUGUCCAAACUUAAACCUUGGACACGGAUUUAUUGUAUGUACAGUAAUUUUCUUAAAAUCUCUUGAAAAUUUUCUUGAGUACGGUAUUUUUUUGUCACAUAACCCAUAUGUUGAUGAUAAAGUUUGUUAUAUGAGCUUUGUACAUACUGAUUCAACUGGUGGCAGGUAUGAGUUCAGAUGCUGCAAUCUUAGAAGGCAAUCUUGUGAAAAUGUGUAUCGAUUGCCUUAUUCCGCCAUCAGCUUGUAUUCAUAUGAGUGAUACAAAAAGCUUUCUGAAUGGUGACUGGCUUGGACGAUCCAAAUUAUGUCAGUGUCAGUACGUUUAGUUGGUGAUGGUUUAGCGGGAGUGACAGCUGCAUCUGUAAAUUACCUAACUUACCCAUUGGGUGUUGUUCGAACUCGCUUGGCAACAUAGGUAAUGCUUGUGAUGUGUCCUGUUUAACUCUUUGAGAUGUGCAAUCCAUUGCUUAUAUUGCUAGUACAGGAGGGCGAGCCAGUGUCAAAGCUACUUAGCAUGCUAAGAUUGUGAACCAGUAUGGGUUUGCACAUCUGAGUGCUAGUGAUCUUCGUCAUGAAGAAGUUAUUAUCUUAGUGUCAGUUCGUUUAGUUGGUGAUGGUUUAGCGGGAGUGACAGCUGUAUCUGUAACUUACCCAUUGGAUGUUGUUCGAACUCGCUUGGCAACACAGGUAAUGCCUGUGAUGUUUCAUGUUUAACUCUUUGAGAUGUUCAAUCCAUUGCUUAUAUUGCUGGUACAGUAGGGCGAGCCAGUGUCAAAGCUACUUAGCAUGCUAAGAUUGUGAACCAGUAUGGGUUUGCGCAUCUGAGUGCUGGUGAUCUUCUUCGUGAAGAAGUUAAAUGUGAUAUGGAGCAUGUAACAGUAUACUUUCAAUUCCUUCAAAUAAACUCUUACGUUGUAAUAAUUGUCUUGAUAUAUUUUUAAUGCCAGCCUCUUUCAGUUAGUACAAUGAUCAAGGAUCUCAUGUAUGAAGAAAAGCUUGUGCCUUUUGAGAUCAUUGCCAUGCUAAUUAGUAAAGAACAUGCUUGUGAUUGGAAAUAAUAAGUUUCUGAUUGAUGGAUUUCCACAAAAUGAAUAACCUCCAAUCAUACAAGACUAUUUAAGAAUUCUUCUAUGUACCUUCGAUAGUGCCAAUACUAGAUCAAUCUCUUGUUGUGUGCUUCACACAUGUGCAUUUGUUUAACAGAUUGAAAUUUACCAUGAGUUCGUACUAUUAAUUGAUGGCUCAAGGGAAGAGACAACGAUAUAUUCUUUAUUGAAAUCAUGUGUGUGCUUUUGAUUAAUUAUACCCAACUUGUCUUGUUUGAUUGCAUGUCACCCAAUUUCGUUGUCUUCGGGGAAUAGAUGAUGACAUAUGGACACCAUUUGAUGGCAGUUUGAUGUUUUUCAUGAAUGAAUUCCACUCGUUAUUCAAUACCACUAUGAGAAAAGUAGGGAAAUGUUGGCCCUCUGCAAAAUGUGUUGGUUUGUCUCGCGGUCUCACCCCCAAAAACAAAGGAGAGGAGCAGCGAGCUCCUCCCUCACACUCGUCGGCUCCAAGGAGCCCCGCCUCCAUGCAUGGAGGAGAGGAGCACGGAUCUUCAUCAUCGCUAAGGCAAACCAAGGCUGCGAUGUUUGAAUAUUAUACUCAGUCAGUUGCUCGACUACUUAUAGUCCUAUUACUGGAGACUUAAUACUCGGUCAGCUGUCGUGUACAUUGUUCUGACAUAAAUGACACCAUGUCUAUGCGCAAGUCAGAAGGAACUUACCAUCUAAAAAGAUGUCCGCAAGUAAGUAUACAUCAAAAGAAAGUAAUGCUUCAGUACUGACCAUCUAAAAAGAUGUCUAAUUAGUGUGCACUGAUGACCCACAAGUAUAUGGGAUCAAUUGUAGCCUUUUCGAUAAGUAAGAGUGCUGAACCCAACGAGGAGCAGAAGGAAAUGACAAUUGGUUUUCAGCAAGGUAAUGCCUGCAAGUGCUGAAAUUGUAAGUAACAGAGUAGUUUGGUAGCAAGAUAAUUUGUAACGAGCAAGUAACAAUAAUAGUAACAAAAGUGUAGCAAGGUAGCACAAUCC